AUUGAACGCUGGCGGCAGGCCUAACACAUGCAAGUCGAGCGAGCGGCGGGCGGGUGAGAAAUGUAUGGGGACAGCCCGUUAGAGGGGGAUAACAACUGGAGACGGUGGCGAAUACCGCAUACUAGAGGCUAAUCCACAUGGGAGUAGCUAGUAGGUGGGGUAAUGGCUCACCUCGGGGACGAUCCCUAGCUGGUCUGAGAGGAUGAUCAGCCACACUGGGACUGAGACACGGCCCAGACUCCUACGGAGGCAGCAGUGGGGAAUAUUGCACAAUGGGCGCAAGCCUGAUGCAGCCAUGCCGCGUGUAUGAAGAAGGCCCUAGGGUUGUAAAGUACUUUCAGUCGGGAGGCGUUACCGACAGAAGAAGCACCGGCUAACUCCGUGCCAGCAGCCGCGGUAAUUC
rnacentral:rRNA from 1 species